CCUUGCAAUAACGAACAAGGAUGAGCAUGUGCAAUGGGUAGGGGAUAGGGUGAGAGCAUGGCAAGUUUCCAAGUGGCUAUUCCCCCUCCACCCCCGACAUGUACAAACAAGGAGAUAACGAAAGUGAAGAGCUGAAAAAGCCCUUACCCCAUAUACAGUAUUUAUGUACAGUACUGCGUUUGUAAUCAGGACGGGGGCUGAAGCAGCAAUGAGAGAAGUAUUUCUAUUCUUGACGCAAAAAAAGGCAAGGAAGAAGUGCUCCAGGAGAGGAGAUAUAAGAAAGGAUUUGCUCAUCGAUUUUCUUAAAUGGAAAAGUUGUAAAGGAUAUGGGUGCAUGAAGAGAGGAAAAGGGAUAACCUUUCUUCUAAAAACAUCAAAUUGCCAAGACACAGCCUCCAUCCAUUGCUCAUGUUAAAAAAGACUUUUUAAAAAAGGAAAAACUUGCCAAAGGCCAAUAGAUCCUCACUUCUCUCCAUUCCCAAGGCAUAUUCUUCUUUCUAUUCCAUAUGUAUAUGCUUAUGUCUACCUCAGAUUUGUACUGAGUGAGGCAACCAGAAAUGUUAAAAAUGCUGGCAAUCGAAAUUUUCCACCAUCGCGAUUGUUCCGGGUCCACUAAAACUAUUUCCAGUAGCAAUGUUUCGUUUUACGAGAGAGAACCAGCAAAAUAGCAGGGAGCUACACUUGCGUAUCAAGAUCUGCGGAAGGAAAGAGUUGAAAAGAUGACAAUGAAAAAGCGCCGGGAGACAAAAACAAAUCAGAAGCCUCAGGUGGUCUAACUUGUACCUCUGAAACCGAAGUGCCACUGCGCGUGUACACAAGAGUCGCUAAAUGGAGAGGAUAUUUCGAUUGACUGUUUUUGCACAAUCCAACCAGUAAUGCAUUGAUUUAUAAUUGCUUACCUUUUCAUAGCAUAUCCCUAA